GUGGGGAAUUUUGGACAAUGGGCGCAAGCCUGAUCCAGCAAUGCCGCGUGCAGGAAGAAGGCCUUCGGGUUGUAAACUGCUUUUGUACGGAACGAAAAGGCUCUGGUUAAUACCUGGGGCUCAUGACGGUACCGUAAGAAUAAGCACCGGCUAACUACGUGCCAGCAGCCGCGGUAAUACGUAGGGUGCAAGCGUUAAUCGGAAUUACUGGGCGUAAAGCGUGCGCAGGCUGUUUUGUAAGACAGAGGUGAAAUCCCCGGGCUCAACCUGGGAAUUGCCUUUGUGACUGCAAGGCUGGAGUGCGGCAGAGGGGGAUGGAAUUCCGCGUGUAGCAGUGAAAUGCGUAGAUAUGCGGAGGAACACCGAUGGCGAAGGCAAUCCCCUGGGCCUGCACUGACGCUCAUGCACGAAAGCGUGGGGAGCAAACAGGAUUAGAUACCCCGGUAGUCC
rnacentral:rRNA from 1 species